GUGUCAGCAGCCGCGGUAAAACGUAGGACGCAAGCGUUAUCCGGAGUUACUGGGCGUAAAGGGCGUGUAGGCGGCCUGUCAAGUUCGUCGUGAAAGCCUCCGGCUCAACCGGGGAGGGUCGAGGGAGACUGACAGGCUGGAGGACGGUAGAGGGACAGGGAAUUCCGGGUGUAGUGGUGAAAUGCGUAGAGAUCCGGAGGAACACCAGUGGCGAAGGCGCUGUCCUGGGCCGUUGCUGACGCUGAAACGCGACAGCAUGGGGAGCGAACGGGAUUAGAUACCCCCGUAGUCC
rnacentral:rRNA from 1 species